GGGGAAUUAAUGUUAAGAUAUAUGCGCAACCAUGAGGAAGUCCAGAAACGGAGGACAGAAAACCCAGGUGACAAAUGCCACGGGCCUGGGCCAGCCAAGCCAUCCUGGAGCCCAGCUGCUUCCGCGCUGCCACCGCAUGAGAAGGGUGCUUUGUUUUCAUUGUCACAUUUGUUGUUUGGAAGGAUGCUCUUCAACCACGGAAUUCUCUGGGUGACCUUUCCAUAAGAAUCGCAUGCAAAUGUCGCGGUGGAAGGUCGUGAUUGGUCUGCAAAGGUCAUCUCCCUUCGUCUAGACAGUUGUCUUCACUAAAGAAGAAAGAAAAGUUCAGAUAGCUGGCGGGCUGGAAGUGGGGAGCCUUCCCCGCCCCCACGGAGCCUUCUGAACUCUGAUUUGUGCUCCUCACUGCUUUCCUCCUCCUCCUCUCCAUCCAUCAUCUCACGCUGCUGGAAGUCUCCGCCUCUGGGAAGAGUCCUUGCGUCCCCUGUAGGAUUCCUCCUUGCCUCUUACCCAGUGUAACGCUCUGACGUCACUCCGCUUCACAUGAAUCCACGGCACCUCUUACGCCAGAGGGCAUGAGUGGCUUUCUUUGCAUUUUCCUGGGGAUCCAGCCCAGGAUCUGGCUAACAGGCGCUCAGCUGAAGCCCGCUAAUUUAUGGACUGCUGCAAAAAUACAGAGGGGGUUAAAAAGUUGUAAAUGGGUCAGAGUUUGUUGGGAUGGUCU